GGCUCAAACUCUGGGCUUGGGUGCUGUCCUUGAACUCCCUUUUUUUCAAGGCUAGCACUCUACCACUUGAGCCACACCAUAUUCCCAGACCUUACAAAGCAUUCUUAAUGAACUAAGUAGUGCUCCUUGGCAUAGUAGCACUUUGAAGCAAUGGUUUUCUUUUACAAAUGAAGUGAGGGAGACUAGAAGGGUUAACUCACUUGCCUAAGGCCGCACAGUACUGAUGGGACAGAGCUAACUAAGCCCAGGCCAUGAGAGUCCGAGUCCUACUCCGUCAUCACCCCAUUAUGGACAGAUGAUAGCAGCGGACACUGCUCCUGCCACCUCCUUAGGGGGGCCUCAUGGGACCUUGGAGUGUACUGUGGCCAUCCAGGUCCCAGUAGCAGCUUAGCUGUCCUUUACAGGAACCACUGCAGCCUAUGCCAGUGACUCUCAGAGGAGCCUCCCAGUUCUGCCUCUUUUGCCACCAUAUCAUCUUCUGCACAUGCUUGUGCCUCUGGUGCCUAAGAAGACACGGUCGUACUCCUUUGUUGCCACCCAUUGGUUGGACUGAGGAUAACUGUCUUUGAAUAAUCGCUGGGCUGCUCAUUCAUAGACCAAAUUAGCAGAACCCUGCCCCAGUCUGACCCCUUGUAUGUGAGGAGUUGUUCCCACCACACUCUUGAGAAGUGAGUGUCAGCUGGUGAGUCCUUCAGUCCCGUGGGUGGAGCCUUCUGCUAAGUGACAACCAAACACAGGCACCCAGUAACCCCAUCAUGACCUGAGGUGUCCACUUGAUCGUGGCUGAGCCACAUUCCUCACCUCUCUCACAGAAGGUGCCGGCCAGUGAGCCAUGUACGUUUGUUUAGUAUUUUUUAGCCUUUGUUUUUAUUAGUUUACAUUAGAAGGGGUUUUUAUUGCCUUAUUUUCACACAUGUGAAUGCUGUCCAUUUAAAAUGCUGUCCAUUUUUUAAAAACUUGAUAGACAAUAAUACUCAUUGCCUAAAUCAUACGCAGCCUUCCUUAUUCUUAAAGUUCUGACUUUAAAGUUCUCUUAAUAGUAGGCGAAGGGUGAGUCUACAGAUUGAUCACUUAGUGAUUUUCUUUUGUUUUGGUGCUGGGAAUUGAAUCCAUGAUCUUACACAAGCUAAGCACGUUUUAUCACUGGCUGGAGCCCCAAGCCCAUCAUUGGCUCUUUGAAAGAGGUGACAGUGUUUCUACAAAGGGUGUGCACAGGCACAGACUCAUGCUGUAAUUUGGGAGGCACCAUCACGUGUACAACCAUGUUUACAACUGGGCCCUAAGCUUCCCUCAUAAGCUGGUUGUGGUGGCUCACACCUAUUAUCCUAGCUACUCAGGAGGCUGAGAUCUGAGGAUCACAAUUCAAAGCCAU